rnacentral:rRNA from 1 species
CCUACGGGUGGCAGCAGUGGGGAAUAUUGCACAAUGGGGGAAACCCUGAUGCAGCGACGCCGCGUGAGUGAAGAAGUAUCUCGGGACGUAAAGCUCUAUCAGCAGGGAAGAAAAUGACGGUACCUGACUAAGAAGCCCCGGCUAACUACGGGCCAGCAGCCGCGGUAAUACGGAGGGGGCAAGCGUUAUCCGGAAUUGCUGGGUGGAAAGGGAGCGUAGACGGCAGCACAAGUAGGAUGUGAAAGCCCGGGGCUUAACCCCGGAAGUGGUUUGGAAACUGGGCGGCUGGAGUGCAGGAGGGGGAAGCGGAAGUCCGAGUGUAGCGGUGAAAUGCGUAGAUAUGAGGAGGAACACCGGUGGCGAAGGCGGCUUACUGGACUGUAACCGACGUUGAGGCUCGAAAGCGUGGGGAGCAAACAGGAUUAGAUACCCCGGUAGUC